AGCUGCAGGUGGGGGAGGGGGCCUCAGAGGGAGUGUGAAGGCAGACAUUGGGUCUGGGGGGUCUUUGGGGCUGACGGUAGCAAAUGACGUGACUCCUGACCUCGUUUCUCACCUGAUCCAGGUAUCACUCCUCCUUGCUUCAAUCUCUUUGCCCUCUUCGAUGCUCAGGCCCAAGUCUGGUUGCCCCCAAACCACAUCCUAGAGAUCCCCAGAGAUGCAAGCCUGAUGCUAUAUUUCCGCAUAAGGUUUUAUUUCCGGAACUGGCAUGGCAUGAAUCCUCGGGAACCGGCUGUGUACCGUUGUGGGCCCCCAGGAACCGAGGCAUCCUCAGAUCAGACAGCACAGGGGAUGCAACUCCUGGACCCAGCCUCAUUUGAGUACCUCU
rnacentral:lncRNA from 1 species